rnacentral:rRNA from 1 species
CUGCGAGGUCGAGCGGCAGCGGGAAAGUAGCUUGCUACUUUUGCCGGCGAGCGGCGGACGGGUGAGUAAUGCCUGGGGAUCUGCCCAGUCGAGGGGGAUAACUACUGGAAACGGUAGCUAAUACCGCAUACGCCCUACGGGGGAAAGCAGGGGACCUUCGGGCCUUGCGCGAUUGGAUGAACCCAGGUGGGAUUAGCUAGUUGGUGGGGUAAUGGCUCACCAAGGCGACGAUCCCUAGCUGGUCUGAGAGGAUGAUCAGCCACACUGGAACUGAGACACGGUCCAGACUCCUACGGGAGGCAGCAGUGGGGAAUAUUGCACAAUGGGGGAAACCCUGAUGCAGCCAUGCCGCGUGUGUGAAGAAGGCCUUCGGGUUGUAAAGCACUUUCAGCGAGGAGGAAAGGUUGGUAGCUAAUAACUGCCAGCUGUGACGUUACUCGCAGAAGAAGCACCGGCUAACUCCGUGCCAGCAGCCGCGGUAAUACGGAGGGUGCAAGCGUUAAUCGGAAUUACUGGGCGUAAAGCGCACGCAGGCGGUUGGAUAAGUUAGAUGUGAAAGCCCCGGGCUCAACCUGGGAAUUGCAUUUAAAACUGUCCAGCUAGAGUCUUGUAGAGGGGGGUAGAAUUCCAGGUGUAGCGGUGAAAUGCGUAGAGAUCUGGAGGAAUACCGGUGGCGAAGGCGGCCCCCUGGACAAAGACUGACGCUCAGGUGCGAAAGCGUGGGGAGCAAACAGGAUUAGAUACCCCUGGUAGUCCACGCCGUAAACGAUGUCGAUUUGGAGGCUGUGUCCUUGAGACGUGGCUUCCGGAGCUAACGCGUUAAAUCGACCGCCUGGGGAGUACGGCCGCAAGGUUAAAACUCAAAUGAAUUGACGGGGGCCCGCACAAGCGGUGGAGCAUGUGGUUUAAUUCGAUGCAACGCGAAGAACCCUUACCUGGUCCUUGACAUGUCUGGAAUCCUGCAGAGAUGCGGGAGUGCCUUCGGGAAAUCAGAACACAGGUGCUGCAUGGGCUGUCGUCAGCUCGUGUCGUGAGAUGUUGGGGUUAAAGUCCCGCAACGAGCGCACCCCCUGUUCCUUUGGUUGCAGCACGUAUGGGUGGGCAACUUCAUGGGAAGAACUUGUC